rnacentral:lncRNA from 1 species
CAUGUGAAGCAGGAUCUGCCUACCCUUCAAGAGCAUUCGUGUUGCCUAGCUAGUCUUUAUUUUUUUUCUAUGUUGACUGUGUUUUGUGUACUAUAUUGUUUGUCUGUUUGUCUUUUUAUUUUUUAGCUAUGGCGUUGUCAAUUUAUUUUCGAUUUAUGAGUUUGAAUGUCCCCCUGAUAUGUUUUGUCCCUCUUUUAUGACACUUUGGAUAUGUUUUGGAGGUUUUUUUUACAAUCUCUCUACACAAGUCUUCUAGUUAUCAAGUAUUAGGAGAAAAAAAUGAAGCGAUACUAU